GGGUUGUGAGGUUAAGCGACUAAGCGUACACGGUGGAUGCCCUGGCAGUCAGAGGCGAUGAAGGACGUGCUAAUCUGCGAUAAGCGUCGGUAAGGUGAUAUGAACCGUUAUAACCGGCGAUUUCCGAAUGGGGAAACCCAGUGUGAUUCGUCACACUAUCAUUAACUGAAUCCAUAGGUUAAUGAGGCGAACCGGGGGAACUGAAACAUCUAAGUACCCCGAGGAAAAGAAAUCAACCGAGAUUCCCCCAGUAGCGGCGAGCGAACGGGGAGGAGCCCAGAGCCUGAAUCAGUGUGUGUGUUAGUGGAAGCGUCUGGAAAGGCGCGCGAUACAGGGUGACAGCCCCGUACACAAAAAUGCACAUACUGUGAGCUCGAUGAGUAGGGCGGGACACGUGGUAUCCUGUCUGAAUAUGGGGGGACCAUCCUCCAAGGCUAAAUACUCCUGACUGACCGAUAGUGAACCAGUACCGUGAGGGAAAGGCGAAAAGAACCCCGGCGAGGGGAGUGAAAAAGAACCUGAAACCGUGUACGUACAAGCAGUGGGAGCACAGAGCAAUCUGUGUGACUGCGUACCUUUUGUAUAAUGGGUCAGCGACUUAUAUUCUGUAGCAAGGUUAACCGAAUAGGGGAGCCGAAGGGAAACCGAGUCUUAACUGGGCGUUAAGUUGCAGGGUAUAGACCCGAAACCCGGUGAUCUAGCCAUGGGCAGGUUGAAGGUUGGGUAACACUAACUGGAGGACCGAACCGACUAAUGUUGAAAAAUUAGCGGAUGACUUGUGGCUGGGGGUGAAAGGCCAAUCAAACCGGGAGAUAGCUGGUUCUCCCCGAAAGCUAUUUAGGUAGCGCCUCGUGAAUUCAUCUCCGGGGGUAGAGCACUGUUUCGGCAAGGGGGUCAUCCCGACUUACCAACCCGAUGCAAACUGCGAAUACCGGAGAAUGUUAUCACGGGAGACACACGGCGGGUGCUAACGUCCGUCGUGAAGAGGGAAACAACCCAGACCGCCAGCUAAGGUCCCAAAGUCAUGGUUAAGUGGGAAACGAUGUGGGAAGGCCCAGACAGCCAGGAUGUUGGCUUAGAAGCAGCCAUCAUUUAAAGAAAGCGUAAUAGCUCACUGGUCGAGUCGGCCUGCGCGGAAGAUGUAACGGGGCUAAACCAUGCACCGAAGCUGCGGCAGCGACGCUGAUGCGUUGUUGGGUAGGGGAGCGUUCUGUAAGCCUGUGAAGGUGUACUGUGAGGUAUGCUGGAGGUAUCAGAAGUGCGAAUGCUGACAUAAGUAACGAUAAAGCGGGUGAAAAGCCCGCUCGCCGGAAGACCAAGGGUUCCUGUCCAACGUUAAUCGGGGCAGGGUGAGUCGACCCCUAAGGCGAGGCCGAAAGGCGUAGUCGAUGGGAAACAGGUUAAUAUUCCUGUACUUGGUGUUACUGCGAAGGGGGGACGGAGAAGGCUAUGUUGGCCGGGCGACGGUUGUCCCGGUUUAAGCGUGUAGGCUGGUUUUCCAGGCAAAUCCGGAAAACUAAGGCUGAGGCGUGAUGACGAGGCACUACGGUGCUGAAGCAACAAAUGCCCUGCUUCCAGGAAAAGCCUCUAAGCAUCAGGUAACAUCAAAUCGUACCCCAAACCGACACAGGUGGUCAGGUAGAGAAUACCAAGGCGCUUGAGAGAACUCGGGUGAAGGAACUAGGCAAAAUGGUGCCGUAACUUCGGGAGAAGGCACGCUGAUAUGUAGGUGAAGUCCCUCGCGGAUGGAGCUGAAAUCAGUCGAAGAUACCAGCUGGCUGCAACUGUUUAUUAAAAACACAGCACUGUGCAAACACGAAAGUGGACGUAUACGGUGUGACGCCUGCCCGGUGCCGGAAGGUUAAUUGAUGGGGUUAGCGCAAGCGAAGCUCUUGAUCGAAGCCCCGGUAAACGGCGGCCGUAACUAUAACGGUCCUAAGGUAGCGAAAUUCCUUGUCGGGUAAGUUCCGACCUGCACGAAUGGCGUAAUGAUGGCCAGGCUGUCUCCACCCGAGACUCAGUGAAAUUGAACUCGCUGUGAAGAUGCAGUGUACCCGCGGCAAGACGGAAAGACCCCGUGAACCUUUACUAUAGCUUGACACUGAACAUUGAGCCUUGAUGUGUAGGAUAGGUGGGAGGCUUUGAAGUGUGGACGCCAGUCUGCAUGGAGCCGACCUUGAAAUACCACCCUUUAAUGUUUGAUGUUCUAACGUUGACCCGUAAUCCGGGUUGCGGACAGUGUCUGGUGGGUAGUUUGACUGGGGCGGUCUCCUCCUAAAGAGUAACGGAGGAGCACGAAGGUUGGCUAAUCCUGGUCGGACAUCAGGAGGUUAGUGCAAUGGCAUAAGCCAGCUUGACUGCGAGCGUGACGGCGCGAGCAGGUGCGAAAGCAGGUCAUAGUGAUCCGGUGGUUCUGAAUGGAAGGGCCAUCGCUCAACGGAUAAAAGGUACUCCGGGGAUAACAGGCUGAUACCGCCCAAGAGUUCAUAUCGACGGCGGUGUUUGGCACCUCGAUGUCGGCUCAUCACAUCCUGGGGCUGAAGUAGGUCCCAAGGGUAUGGCUGUUCGCCAUUUAAAGUGGUACGCGAGCUGGGUUUAGAACGUCGUGAGACAGUUCGGUCCCUAUCUGCCGUGGGCGCUGGAGAACUGAGGGGGGCUGCUCCUAGUACGAGAGGACCGGAGUGGACGCAUCACUGGUGUUCGGGUUGUCAUGCCAAUGGCACUGCCCGGUAGCUAAAUGCGGAAGAGAUAAGUGCUGAAAGCAUCUAAGCACGAAACUUGCCCCGAGAUGAGUUCUCCCUGACCCUUUAAGGGUCCUGAAGGAACGUUGAAGACGACGACGUUGAUAGGCCGGGUGUGUAAGCGCAGCGAUGCGUUGAGCUAACCGGUACUAAUGAACCGUGAGGCUUAACCUUACAACGCCGAAGGUGUUU
rnacentral:rRNA from 1 species